UGUUCCCGGGCCUUGUACACACCGCCCGUCACACCACGAAAGCCGGCAACACCCGAAGCCGGUGGCCUAACCCGCAAGGGAGGGAGCCGUCGAAGGUGGGGUCGGUGAUUGGGGUG
rnacentral:rRNA from 1 species